rnacentral:ncRNA from 1 species
CAAAUGAAGGGGCAAAUUCAUUGAAAAAUGAAGACGCAAAGCCACAAGUCUAAAGCAUGAAAAAUGCCAUGAUGGUUGGGUUGCCAAG